CCACAACCAUCACCACCACUACCA
rnacentral:snRNA from 1 species